rnacentral:rRNA from 1 species
CUGUAAGCCGUUGAAGGUGGCCUGUGAGGGUUGCUGGAGGUAUCAGAAGUGCGAAUGCUGACAUAAGUAACGAUAAUGCGGGUGAAAAACCCGCACGCCGGAAGACCAAGGGUUCCUGUCCAACGUUAAUCGGGGCAGGGUGAGUCGACCCCUAAGGCGAGGCCGAAAGGCGUAGUCGAUGGGAAACAGGUUAAUAUUCCUGUACUCGGUGUUACUGCGAAGGGGGGACGGAGAAGGCUAUGUUGGCCGGGCGACGGUUGUCCCGGUUUAAGCAUGUAGGCGGAUGUUCCAGGUAAAUCCGGAACGUCAC